rnacentral:rRNA from 1 species
UCCCAGACUCCUACGGGAGGCAGCAGUGGGGAAUAUUGCACAAUGGGGGAAACCCUGAUGCAGCGACGCCGCGUGGGUGAAGAAGCGCCUCGGCGCGUAAAGCCCUGUCAGCAGGGAAGAAAAUGACGGUACCUGAAGAAGAAGCCCCGGCUAACUACGUGCCAGCAGCCGCGGUAAUACGUAGGGGGCAAGCGUUAUCCGGAUUUACUGGGUGUAAAGGGGGCGCAGACGGCGAUGCAAGCCAGGAGUGAAAGCCCGGGGCCCAACCCCGGGACUGCUCUUGGAACUGCGUGGCUGGAGUGCAGGAGGGGCAGGCGGAAUUCCUGGUGUAGCGGUGAAAUGCGUAGAUAUAACUUAGAACCCCGAUAGCGAAGGCAGCUUACCAGACUGUUACUGACGCUGAAGCACGAGAGCGUGGGUAGCGAACAGGAUUAGAUACCCCUGUAC